AGAGCGAACGCUGGCGGCAGGCCUAAUACAUGCAAGUCGAACGGACCCUUCGGGGUUAGUGGCGGACGGGUGAGUAACACGUGGGAACGUGCCCUUUGGUUCGGAACAACUCAGGGAAACUUGAGCUAAUACCGAAUGUGCCCCCAUCCUUAAACAAGAUGGGUGGGAAAGAUUUAUCGCCAUUGGAGCGGCCCGCGUCUGAUUAGCUAGUUGGUGAGGUAAAGGCUCACCAAGGCGACGAUCAGUAGCUGGUCUGAGAGGAUGAUCAGCCACACUGGGACUGAGACACGGCCCAGACUCCUACGGGAGGCAGCAGUGGGGAAUAUUGGACAAUGGGCGCAAGCCUGAUCCAGCCAUGCCGCGUGGAUGAUGAAGGCCCUAGGGUUGUAAAGUCCUUUCGACGGGGAAGAUAAUGACGGUACCCGUAGAAGAAGCCCCGGCUAACUUCGUGCCAGCAGCCGC
rnacentral:rRNA from 1 species